rnacentral:rRNA from 1 species
UNUGACUUGAGUGCAGAAGGGGAGAGUGGAAUUCCAUGUGUAGCGGUGAAAUGCGUAGAUAUAUGGAGGANCACCAGUGGCGAAAGCGGCUCUCUGGUCUGUCACUGACGCUGAGGCUCGAAAGCGUGGGUAGCGAACAGGAUUAGAUACCCUGGUAGUNCACGCCGUAAACGAUGAGUGCUAGGUGUUAGGCCCUUUCCGGGGCUUAGUGCCGGAGCUAACGCAAUAAGCACUCCGCCUGGGGAGUACGACCGCAAGGUUGAAACUCAAAGGAAUUGACGGGGGCCCGCACAAGCGGUGGAGCAUGUGGUUUAAUUCGAAGCAACGCGAAGAACCUUACCAGGUCUUGACAUCCCGAUGCUAUUCUUAGAGAUAGGAAGUUACUUCGGUACAUCGGAGACAGGUGGUGCAUGGUUGUCGUCAGCUCGUGUCGUGAGAUGUUGGGUUAAGUCCCGCAACGAGCGCAACCCUUAUUGUUAGUUGCCAUCAUUAAGUUGGGCACUCUAGCGAGACUGCCGGUAAUAAACCGGAGGAAGGUGGGGAUGACGUCAAAUCAUCAUGCCCCUUAUGACCUGGGCUACACACGUGCUACAAUGGUCGGUACAACGAGUUGCGAGCCGGUGACGGCAAGCUAAUCUCUGAAAGCCGAUCUCAGUUCGGAUUGGAGGCUGCAACUCGCCUCCAUGAAGUCGGAAUCGCUAGUAAUCGCGGAUCAGCACGCCGCGGUGAAUACGUUCCCGGGCCUUGUACACACCGCCCGUCACACCACGAGAGUUUGUAACACCCGAAGUCGGUGAGGUAACCUUUUAGGGGCCAGCCGCCUAAGGUGGGANGGA